rnacentral:rRNA from 1 species
AACGAACGCUGGCGGCGUGCCUAACACAUGCAAGUCGAACGUGAUUGAAGAGCUUGCUCUUCAUGAAAGUGGCGCACGGGUGAGUAACGCGUAGAUAAUCUACCAGGUGAUUUGGGAUAACAGUUCGAAAGGACUGCUAAUACCGAAUAAGCCCACGGAGUCUUUGGAUUCUGCGGGAAAAGGGGGGGACCUUAUGGCCUUCCGUCAUCAGAUGAGUCUGCGUACCCUUAGCUAGUUGGUAGGGUAAAGGCCUACCAAGGCGACGAUGGUUGGCUGGCCUGAGAGAAUGAUCAGCCACACUGGAACGGAGCCACGGUCCAGACUCCUCCGGGAGGCAGCAGGGGGGAAUGUUGCGCAAUGGGGGAAACCCUGACGCAGCAACGCCGCGUGAGUGACGAAGGCCCUUGGGUCGUAAAGCUCUGACAGAGGAAAAGAAAUGCAGGGGAGCUAAUAUCUCCUUUGCUUGACGGUACCCUCAAAGGAAGCACCGGCUAACUCCGUGCCAGCAGCCGCCGUAAUAC